UACGUAGGGUGCGAGCGUUGUCCGGAAUUACUGGGCGUAAAGCGUGCGUAGACGGUUUCGUAAGUCGGGUGUGAAAUCCCCGGGCUCAACCUGGGAAUUGCAUUCGAAACUGCGAGGCUAGGGUACGGAAGAGGGAAGCGGAAUUUCUGGUGUAGCGGUGAAAUGCGUAGAUAUCAGGAGGAACACCGGUGGCGAAGGCGGUUCUCUGGGCCUUACCUGACGCUGAGGAGCGAAAGCGUGGGGAGCAAACAGG
rnacentral:rRNA from 1 species